UCCGCGCGGGGGUCAGGCCCCUGGCGCCUCCCUGCAGGGUCGCGGGGCUGGGCACAGCCUUGCCUCCCUCCAGCUCCCGGGCAGGCGGGACCCUUGGCCUCCAUCCUCCAGAACGCCCGCCACUCCGAGCCGCUUCUCGACUCCGACGCUGGGCCGGUCCGGAGUCCUCGGACAGAACCGGGCAGAGCCGGGCAGAGCCGCCACGAAGGGUCAAUUAUUCAUGUGGCGCCCGGGCGUGCUCCCAAGACCUGCUCUGCCCUUAGCUUCUCCGCAGAAGUGGGGAGAAGACAGGGGACAAGUUCCCAGAGCAAAGUUGGCCCCAUUUCUCUUUUUCUCAAAAUGACUCACCAUGCCAGAAACGCAAUGAGCUAGCUGUGGAAGAAGCGUUCUGUCUAAGAUGCCCUGUGUCCCAACCGGUGGCUGGGCUUGGGGUUCACCUACGCCUGAUCAAGAUGGCCAGGGUGUCUCAGGAGCGUGACUGGAAUAUGAAGACUGUGGUUACGAAGGCCUGGCCUGAUCAGCAGAGUUGUAGUCUGCCUGAAGAACAAAUAGGAAUCAGAAGAGAGUGGGCCUCAUACAAUCCAGGAGGGCCCCUAGGAAGAAGCACCUGGCUAUGUUGCUUGGUGGAGAGAAGUAGACAGAAGUUCACACUGUGGAGGAGAGAGAGGGAGAAAGGUAUUAACUGACUCCUCCAGAGCCAGAAUUAAAUCUUUCAAAACCUCUUAGUCCUUUGCUUGGGUUCCUCAUUCUCUAAGCAACCUGCAGAUGAACUUGGCACCAGUAAAAAAAGCCCCCUGGAUCCAGACAGACACCAGCGUUCCAGUUCGUGCAUUGUAAACAUUUCGCAUUUCUAUUAUUUCUUUAUGACACAAGUUCAUUGUGGAAGAAUUUGAAAAUGAGCUAAGGAAAACUGAAAAAGAACCCCCCGUGGAGACAUUAUAUUUUGGUGUAUAUCCUUGGACAUUUUAUAGCUACAUAUCUACAUGUAAAUGCACAUAAUAAUAAAACUAUAUAAAUACUGUUAAACAAAUGAAUGACUUUACAUGUAAAUAUGUUAUUUUGACAAAGUUAACAAAAUGGCAUAACACUAUACUUACUGAAUUGCAACCACUUUUGCCCAUAGUAUGUCACAAAUAUCUUUCCCUGUCUAUAAACAUUCACAUUAUCAUUCUUAACAAAUGAUAUUAUUCCAUGGUAUGUGUGUAUCUUAAUUUGUUUAAACAAAUUGUUGACCCUGGGGGAUGUUUCCAGUUUUUCACUUUUAUGGACCUGCUGUGAUAAGCAUACUUGUUCAGUUACCUUAGUGCCAGGUAGAUGUCAUAUUCUGACCAUUUUACAUAUGAGGAGACUGAGUCACAGAAAAGUUUAAAAACUUCCCAAGGUCACAGCUAUGGAGUGACUGAGCCAGAAUUUGCAGCUCGAGUUUCCAGGUGGGAGUUCCUUUCAGCAUCUCUGUUUUCUUCUUUUCUUUAGAGCGACUGUCCCCUGCACCCACCUCUCCGUUAUCUCUUUCUCUAACAAAUUGCCUCCUUGUGAGAGCCUGUCGGGGCAGGUGACCCACUUGCUUCUCUGACACCAUUUUACCUUCGGUAAUGUCCACCUCCUGGGGUUGUUGGAAGGAAUGAAAGCAGGAGUAAUGAAUGACAGGGUGCAUCAAAUAACCCACCUCUUCUGACCCGCCUUGUGACCAAGGGUGCAUAUUUACAUGGCUUUAUUCCCAUCACGGCUUGGACCAAUAAGUUAACUGGCCUUAUUUGCAUAAAUAGAAGAAUAAACCAAAAGAAAAAUGAGCCAUCAACCAUAAACAGGAGAUUGCCAGCUUCACCAAACAGUUACAAACAAAUAAAUGCAUAAAAGCCACAAUGAUGACACAUAUUGCUAUGGGACUGCUAAUUGAUACUAAACCUGGAAGGUAAUUUGACGUUUGUCAAGAGAAGUUUAAAGGUUUAUACCCUUCGAUUCAGUAACUUUAGUUCUAGAAAUCUGAGAGAGAAUCAGCGGUGUGGACAAAGAUAUGUGUUAAGGAUGUUUAUCAAAGUAUCAUUUAUGUUGGCAAAAAUUACAAACAAAAAAAAGGGAGCGGAAGGAAGGAAGGAAAUAACCCAAGUAUUCAACAAUGAGGAAAUGUUUAAAGAAGUUACGGCAUGCACGUUUGAUGUAAUACUAUAUGACUAUUAAAAACCACAUUUUUGAAGAAUAUUUAAUGACCUGGAAAUUGUUUGUAAUAUACUGAGUGAGAUACAA